rnacentral:rRNA from 1 species
UGGGGAAUAUUGCGCAAUGGGGGAAACCCUGACGCAGCCAUGCCGCGUGAGUGAAGAAGGUCUUCGGAUCGUAAAGCUCUUUCAACGGUGAAGAUGAUGACGGUAGCCGUAGAAGAAGUCCCGGCUAACUCCGUGCCAGCAGCCGCGGUAAUACGGAGGGGACUAGCGUUGUUCGGAAUUACUGGGCGUAAAGAGUUCGUAGGCGGACUAGCAAGUUAGAGGUGAAAUCCCAGGGCUCAACCUUGGAACUGCCUUUAAAACUGCUAGUCUAGAGACCGGAAGAGGUUAGGGGAAUACCUAGUGUAGAGGUGAAAUUCGUAGAUAUUAGGUGGAACACCAGUGGCGAAGGCGCCUAACUGGUCCGGUACUGACGCUGAGGAACGAAAGCGUGGGGAGCAAACAGGAUUAGAUACCCUGGUAGUCCACACCGUAAACGAUGAAUGCCAGUCGUCGGGUAGCAUGCUAUUCGGUGACACACCUAACGGAUUAAGCAUUCCGCCU